GCACGUGGCGCCCGCCCAGCUGGCGCGCGUGCACGUCGUCACGCCCAAGGCGCCCGUGCACGUCACGCUCGACCCCAAGAUUCAGCCAGUCCCAGGCGGGCCGAUCUUCAUCCCGCAGCCGGUGGGUGCUCCCGCCAUCAAGCUGUCGGCGUCGGCGUACUGGGUGCUGCGCCUGCCGCGCGCCUUCUGCGACGAGCGCGGGCUGCUGCCGAGGGACCGCGCCGGCUAUAUCAGGGCUCCGCUGUUCGGGCUGCAGGACUGAGGGCUACAAGACUACAAGAUUAUUUUCGGACAUGAAUGGGACAUUACUACGUUGCAAGACAGGGGUACAAGUCCUCUUUUCGGACUGACAGUGGGACAUGAAAACUUACCAUUGGAACUUGUUAGUGGGACGUGUAACUUCUCAGCCUCUCGUUCCCACCACUGCAACUUACUCGGUCCCACCACUGCGCUCCCGCCAUCAAGCUGUCAGCGUCUGCCUACUGGGUGCUGCGCCUGCCGCGCGCCUUCUGCGACAAUCAGGGAUCCGCUGUUCGGGCUGCAGGACUGAGGGGACUACGAGAAAUACAAGACUACAAGAUUUUCGGACAUGAAUGGGGCGUAGGCUACAUCGGGCUGCAAAACUGAGGGAUACAGUAGAGCUCCUCUAUUUGGACUGAGAAUGGAGCGUAAACUACAUCAAGGCUCCGCUGAUCAGGUUGCAACACUAAGGAUAUAUGACUCUCUGAAUAUAAGAAUCCUCUUUUCAGACACAGAAUGGGGCGUAGGCUACAUCAGGGCUCCACUAUUCAGGUUACAAGACUCUUCUUUUUGGAUUGACAGUAGGACGUGAAGCUUCUGACGUUGCCGGCAUUGAAACUUGAUAGUGGGACGUAGCCUCUCUCGUUCCCACCACUGCAACUUAAAAUUGGAACGUAUAGCCUUUCUCGGUCUCACCCACAGAUCACGAAAUUAAAGGGAUAUGUGACAAGGGGGCGGGGCCGGUCUCGCAGCAAUAUGCCCAAAAACAGAACACAUUGCUCGUGACAGCAAUGAUUACAGCAGCGACGUCAUAAUGUAAACAGUUACGCCUUCUGCGACGAGCGCGGGCUGCUGCCGAGGGACCGCGCCGGGUAUAUCAGGGCUCCGCUGUUCGGGCUGCAGGACUGAGGGCUACAAGACUACUAGACUACAAGAACCCUCUUCGGACAUGAAUGGGACAUUACUACGUUGCAAGACAGGGGUACAAGUCCUCUUUUCGGACUGACAGUGGGACAUGAAAACUUACCAUUGGAACUUGUUAGUGGGACGUGUAACUUCUCAGCCUCUCGUUCCCACCACUGCAACUUACUCGGUCCCACCACUGCGCUCCCGCCAUCAAGUUGUCGGCGUCGGCCUACUGGGUGCUGCGCCUGCCGCGCGCCUUCUGUGACAAUCAGGGCUCCGCUGUUCGGGCUGCAGGACUGACGAGAACUACGGGAACUACAAGACUACAAAAAUCCUCUUCGGACUUGAAUGGGACGUAGGCUACAUCGGGCUACAAAACUGAGGGAUACAGUAGAGCUCCGCUAUUCGGACUGAGAAUGGAGCGUAAACUACAUCAGGGCUCCGCUGAGCAGGUUGCAACCUCAGGGUUACAAAAAUCCUCUUUUCGAACUUAAAAUGGCCCGUAGGAACAAAAGAGCUCCACUAUUUGGACUGACAGUGGGACGUGAAGCUUCUUUCGUUCCCACUUGACAGUGGGACGUGUAAUUACUCUCAGUCCCAUCACUGCAAUGCCUCUAGUAGACUGAGAGAGAGAAAGAGAGGCGAGUAGACUCCUAUUCCUAUCACUGCAACAAUCUGGUCUAAGAGUGAGGUGUAUUUUUUAGCUCCAGAUAACCAUCUUCAGCCAGGCUGACUGUUAUCCUACUAAUAUUAAAAAUGUGAAAGUUUGUAUGGAUGUCUGGAUGUCAACAUGUUUGUUACUCUCACGCAAAAACUACUGAACGGAUUUUGAUGAAACUACAGUUUUAUUGUUUGUAACUCAGAAUAACAUAUAGGCUAUAAUUUAUGACGCUCUGUGACGCCUGGUAAAUAUCACGCCGGUGAAGCCGCGGGCAAAUGCUAGUCUCUUAUGUAACGUAGAAGUAUUUUCUCAUCAUGACAGAAUUAUUAACAGAGUAGAUUUUUUUUUAUGCAAAUCGCACCUUUUGAUGAUGUUAAAUUGAGGAUAAAGGAAUUGAUUGUACACUGCCAAUGUAAAGCCUUGUUAAGUAAGUUAAGAUGUUGCAUAAAUUAGAAAUGUGGCAUGUUUAUUGUACUAGUGUUGUAAGAUAUGAUUUAAAAGUCAGGUCGCAAAAGACAAAAAAGAAGCAAUAUUAUAAGAGUUUGUAUGUGUAUUUUCUGCAGAUGAAAUAUCUGGGUUAGGGAGGUCUGGUUUACUUUUGCUAGCAUAGGGCUGGCUGAAUCCUCCAUUUGCCUCUGGUUUUGUGAGAGUCUGCUCCUACAUAAUACAUAAAGCUGUUAACGAUGUAAAGUGUAAGAACAGGGUUACAAAAACUGUUAGUGUAUUUUAAAAAAACCAGUGGAAACUUCAAGAAAAACCACUAUCUUUCUAAUUUUUUUCUAAUUUAAUUAAAUAAAUUUAAAUAAUUAUGCCCGAAUUUCGACAUUCUACACUUAAACUUCUGUACGAAAUAAGUACUGUAAAUUAUUCUGACACAACGAAAACUUCUAUUUAUCUAUCUGUUAAAAUGUAUUUAUAGCAAACGAAUCGGUAUGUAACGCUUAAUGAAAAUUUAAGAAGUAAGUUGAAUUGUAUAAGUAAUGCGAAUCCAUGAGAAUCUUCGGAAACAACUUAUAGUAUGAAGUGUUUGAUUUGUUUAUAAACAAACAAUAGCUUUAGUUAUAGUGAUACGAUAUAGCAAUAUUAAUAUAAAUCCUAGAAGCUGUAUGCUUCCGAAUAUGUUUGCCUUACAGUUUACACAAUUUUUACAAUUAAUGUUAAGAAAAUAUGUUUUUACCAAUAUCAUAUUGACUGCAGCAACAGUUCAUAGAUGAAAUGUUUUUAUAGAUUGUAAAAAUAUAUACAGAUGCUUUAAUGUAUUUGAAAUAAUUAUAUUGUUUUAGUAGUCCAUUGGCUAGCUAUUAUGUGUAGUGUGAUGUUCAUAAAGUUUGGUAUAUUCUAGUUAUAUAAUAAAUCUUUACAUCGUAUAAAAACGUCGUAUCGUAUCUCGCUCACGUUUUGUCGCGCUUAUUCCAGCUGUAUUUUUGAAGUAUACUCAUGGUAAUUUCAUCUCUUGAGGUGUAGAAAAAACGAGGAAAUCAAGCAUAGAAGUUAAAUAAAUACGGGCGUUAGAUUAUUCUUGCUCCAUACGUUAUUUUAUUCAACAUUCAGAUCUUAGAUUUAUAAGUUAAAAAUAAAUUACAUUAAAGCAAUAAUGCAUAAGAGACAAAGAUUCUUUUACCGAUAUGAAUUGGAGAAUUUUGUUGUUUAUAUUAAAAUGUGAACUAAGCAUCAAAUAAAUAAAUUUUAAAACAAAAAACCAA